AGCCCUGAGGUGUUACAUAUAAGAUUGCAAAUCUUAAGAAGCAGAGUAGGAUCUGCCGGGGCUU
rnacentral:tRNA from 2 species